CCAUAUACCGCGGGUGACCUCGCCGAAUAUAUAGAAAAUUUAAAAACGUAUCGCAAAGGGGAUCAACCAGAAUUGAUAAGAUUACAGGCGAGGGUACUUGGCUGGACUCACAUGGCGAGGGAAAUAUCUAAUAUAAAACUCGUAAAGAUAGCAUUCUCUCGUUUCGAGCAUGAAACUGAAACGCUUCAUUCAGUCCUGCCAGAAUCCCCUCUGCAUUUCGCGUUCGUCCCCUUCCAUCACCGACCGCGACAAAUCUGUUACGAGAUUUCCACCUUCAUCCUCGCCCACCUCGUGGCAUUGAAUUUGAACGGGAUGUAGAUUCCGCCGGACAACGAGGUGAGAACGACGACGUCGGUCAUUCGCGGUGCUACGUAACAGCUCCGACGUAAGGGUGAGAGACGAGGGAUGAUCCCCUCAGUCUCUUAUCGCGACCGGGCCGUGGGAUCCGGACUCCCAACACUUCCGUACUUGUUACACGCUGCGACGAACGAGAUCAACGUCUUGAGAAAGCUACAUCCUCAUCAGCAAUGUCCGUGAAACAUCACUAUGGAACAUCGGGGGGCUGAGUCUGACAGUUAUCGUGAGCAACGACUGAUUAAUCGCAGUGCUUCUGGAGUUCGGGGGCUCGUAAGAUAAUCCUGCGCUGAUUAAGGAAGAGGGAUGGAGAAGGUAUAGAAGAAGAGGAAGAGUCUUUAGGAUGAGAUCGUGACGCAGGAUGUCGAGCAGUGCCAGCGUCGGAAUUGUCAGCGAAACACGCAUUCGCGACAGGCAGUUCGCGCAGUGAUAGGAUCUGCCCCACUAUCCUGCACAUUGCCCUAGGACCAAAGCACCGUGAUCUCAAGUAACUUAAAAGACAGCUCUAUUUUUCGCAAAUGUACUGCUCUACACCGGAAAGCCAAUUGCUCCAGUUUUCGCAUAGGAAGUCCAUCUAAAACGUGAUCCGUUAUUAUUUCUCGUAUUUAUCAAAAGCAAACUAAACGGAACUGGCGUAUUGAUGGAAUCUACCUCCAUUGGACCGAUUGUACUCGAGAAGUACUCAGAAAAAGAAAUCGGAAAGGGCAGUGAUGAACAUGAAUAACUCUCUACAAUAAGAACCAGAGUAUAUAUCGUUUCUUGUUGUUGAGAUGCAACCGCGUACUAAAGGCACGUUAUCGAAAGUAACGAGAAUAAUUACGAGAAGGAUAAGAAAGAAUUAUCAGAUGCAAAACAAAAACGUUACGUACGAUUGUUAUCACAGGUAAAAAUAAAUAAAUAAUAAAUCGAUUAAUGAUUACCUGUGUAUCAAAGUAACGAAUUAUCACGAUAGAAAGAAGAAAAAAAGAGAAUUAAUACUGAGGAUAUGUUAAGGGAAGGAAGAUUGAUCACGUUACAUAUAGUCCAUACGUUUUCUGCUUUCGUCGACGAUACGAUCGAGAAUACGCGACAGCUUAACGGAGUUUUGAUCUACACAUUAAGAGUGGUGCUUGACGAACAAUACCCCGUUGCCUUGCCGAUGAGGAUUCAAUCAGAUUACCGAGAAAUAAGCUCAAGAGGUUGAGGAUGAGGGUGGACGGUCGAAGGCUUAUAUGCGACUUGCGCUUCUAAAUUGAUAAUACUUAACAAGCGCUCAUCAUCGCGCCGACAUUAUGGGGAAUGGCAUGAACAAGGUUCUUCCUGGUCUUUACGUGGGUAAUUAUCAGGACAGCAAGGACGCUGAUCAAUUGGAGCGCUUCGAGAUCACGCAUAUUCUAGCCAUCCACGACACGGCUCGUCGUCUGCAUUCUGACAAGCAUUACUUAUGCAUCCUGGCUGCUGACAGUCCUGACCAAAACUUAUCGCAAUACUUCUCCUUGUGUAAUGAUUUCAUUCAUGCUGCUCGUCUUCGUGGCGGAAAUGUUUUAAUUCAUUGUCUAGCAGGAAUGUCGCGGAGCGUGACGGUAGCGGUGGCAUACAUCAUGAGCACCACCGAUCUGUCCUGGAAAGAGGCGCUCAAAGUCGUCAGGGUGGGUCGUUCUAUUGCAAAUCCGAACGUUGGUUUCCAGCAGCAGCUCAAGGACUUCGAGUCCAGUCGUUUGCCGGAGGAGCGUCGCAGAUUGAAGGAGCGGUUUCCCAGUCUCGCCCUUGCAGAGUCUGACGCCGAAGCUUGCAGCUCCACUCUGAGGAAUUACGAAACACUGGCUCUAGCAAGAGAAGUGUGCGAGGGCAAAUGCGCUAUGGGACGCACUUGUCCGACUGGUCUUUGUCGUCAGGCUUCUAAAAGAAGUCCGAGGAGGAAAUCAUCUACCAGCAGUGUUGGAAGUGUGUCCUCCGGCAGAACACCACCGCAAACACCACGAAUGCUACCAUCUGCGCCACCCUCGCCUGCCCUACAUAGAUCGGCCAGUGUUGUGUCACCGAGAUUGAGGAGUGCUCCAGCAGGAUUGCAUCCUUAUACCGGAGGAUCGGCUCCACCUUCCAGGGCUGUGUCGAGGGUGGACCUAUCAGCGGCAGUCGCUUGCAGCAGCAGCAACACUAGUCUCUCCGCCGUGGGUAGAUCGAGUGCGUUCUCUAGUAGCAACUGGAGAUUGACCGCUGGUUCCGCGCCGAAUACACCAAGACCAACGCCACCGGUUUCACCCCAACGCUGGCCGAGACGACUCUCGAAUCGACCGCAAUUGCCGGUACCGCCAGAUUCGCAUCCCUCGACGAUGACGUAGCAUCGGGAAAGUCUUGGUUCGUUGUGGAGCCUACUAGAAUAACGAACUAAAGGACAUCGGCGUGUCGUUCAAGAGUCGGUUGCCAUUAUUAUGCAUUGCUUAUUCUCGGCAAGAUAAAUUCCUCAUUCCAAACUCAUUGUCAUCCCAGCAUCAGCAUAGUCUUUAUUUAACACGGAUGAAACUUCAGGAGCAAUUAAAGAGAGACUUCCGACGAAGAUAUUCCUACGAAUUAUACAAUUACGAAGAUGUAAUGUCUUGCACUUGAUAGAUUUUGAAUCGGGAUUUUGAAUCGCGUGGAUGGCAAGAAUUCGCAAAGUUGUCGCGUCUGAAAUAAUCUAUGUGAUUCGGCGAUAUGAUAAUACGCCGGUCCACUGAACACGUCGCAUCCGGCGAGAUGAAGCAGAGUUGUUAUAUCAGAUACGCAUAUCUUGCGUCUGGGAAUUGUUGGUGACUUACUGAUUUAUACAAGUUGUUACAAGUUAUUGCUUAUACUUGGCGAGAAAGUGCUUUUAUCGCGAAUGGGAGACGAACUCUCUUCACAUGCAUCGAGAACAUUGUGUGUUUCGCGAAGAAAUGUAUAAAUGCUACAUUGCUGACAAUCUGACAUUUAAAUGGGAUUUGAGUUAAGCGAUUGAUCGCAAGAAGUAAUGGGAUUGCUUGAAAAGAAUGGCGCGUUUGGAAUACGAAAUUAAUUCCUUGGGACGUUAUCAACAAUACGAUGUUAAUUGCGUAGAAUUAAAGUGUAUCAGGUCAUUUCACGCUUUUAUGGCGUCGCUCAAUCGCUAGUAAUGUCCUCGCUAAUGAUCCGCAAUUUUCAUCUGCCGAAGAUAACGCAUAAAUCAUUAUCAAUUAAUUGUCGAUUAUGAAAAAGUAUAAUUAUAAUCGUAAGUACUAUUCAAAGUGGUAUGAACGUUGCUUCAAGUUGGUAGGUAGCUUUCAAAAUUAAUUAUCCAAAAUGGAGAAUUAGUGAAGAAUAUUUUUUGAUACAGUGUAAAAAUGAGAGAGAGAGAGAGAGAGAAUUCAUGAAACGUGGACAUGCUCACAAAUACAUGCACGAUUCCAUGUAGUAUUCUACACGCGGACUCGACAAAGGACCGAAGAGAAGUCGAUUUCGCGUGCUUAUUCUUGCAAGGAACGAUGUAUUUUAUCAACCUGUUCCAUUAAUUUCGUUUGCAACCGUCCAUACAAUUGUUGGCUUUCUAGCGAAAUCGCACUAUUUUAUCGCGUGAUAUUCAAACGAAAAAGAAA
rnacentral:misc_RNA from 1 species